rnacentral:rRNA from 15 species
GCCUACGGCCAUACCAUGCUGAAUACACCCGUUCUCGUCCGAUCACGGAAGUUAAGCAGCAUCGGGCACGGUUAGUACUUGGAUGGGUGACCGCCUGGGAAUACCGUGUGCAGUAGGCU